AUUGAACGCUGGCGGCAGGCCUAACACAUGCAAGUCGAACGGUAACAGGAAGCAGCUUGCUGCUUUGCUGACGCGUGGCGGACGGGUGAGUCAUGUCUGGGAAACUGCCUGAUGGAGGGGGAUAACUACUGGAAACGGUAGCUAAAACCGCAUAACGUCGCAAGCCCAAAGAGGGGGACCUUCGGGCCUCUUGCCUUCGGAUGUGCCCAGAUGGGAUUAGCUAGUAGGUGGGGUAACGGCUUACCUAGGCGACGAUCCCUAGCUGGUCUGAGAGGAUGACCAGCCACACUGGAACUGAGACACGGUCCAGACUCCUACGGGAGGCAGCAGUGGGGAAUAUUGCACAAUGGGCGCAAGCCUGAUGCAGCCAUGCCGCGUGUAUGAAGAAGGCCUUCGGGUUGUAAAGUACUUUCAGCGGGGAGGAAGGGAGUAAAGUUAAUACCUGUGCUUAUUGACGGUACCCGCAGAAGAAGCACCGGCUAACUCCGUG
rnacentral:rRNA from 1 species